UACGGAGGAUGCAAGCGUUAUCUGGAAUUAUUGGGCGUAAAGCGCGCGUAGGCGGCCGCUUAAGUCGGAUGUGAAAGCCCCGAGCUUAACUUGGGAACUGCGCUCGAAACUACUUGGCUAGAGUGUGGCAGAGGGAGGUGGAAUUCCACGUGUAGCGGUGAAAUGCGUAGAGAUGUGGAGGAACACCGAUGGCGGAAGGCAGCCUCCUGGGCCAACACUGACGCUCAUGCACGAAAGCGUGGGGAGCAACAGG
rnacentral:rRNA from 1 species